UACGUAGGUGGCAAGCGUUGUUCGGAAUCACUGGGCUUAAAGGGCGCGUAGGCGGGUGCUCAAGUCCGGGGUGAAAUCCCACAGCUCAACUGUGGAAUUGCCUCGGAUACUGGGCGUCUCGAGGGUGGCAGGGGUAUGCGGAACUAUCGGUGGAGCGGUGAAAUGCGUUGAUAUCGAUAGGAACUCCGGUGGCGAAGGCGGCAUACUGGUCCACUUCUGACGCUGAGGCGCGAAAGCCAGGGGAGCAAACGGG
rnacentral:rRNA from 1 species